rnacentral:lncRNA from 1 species
GUCAGAAUCACUAAAUAUGCAAAAUCUCUGUUGAGUGUGUGUGCAUAUUAUUAUUUUGUAAUGUAGCAAUGAAGUUCUAUGCAUGCCAAGGAAGACUGUGUCCUGUUUGAUAGGCAAAAAUAUUUCCCCUGCAGUAUGUGCCCACCUCCUGCUAGUUACAUAUAUCAGAAAUGAUUGGUAAGUGCCAUUCAAACUUUACAUCUUUUUCCUUGUCGCCUCUAGAAAUGUCACCAUAACCAAAGGUUAGCAAAGUACUGUUUCCUUUGUUGUAAUUAGAGCUGUACUAAUCUCAAGUUGUAACUCAACAGGUACAGAAGAGAUCUGUUCUUUCAAGAACUGUUAGGAAUGGACAAGCAAAGACUCGUCAAUCCACACCCCAAUCCUGAGCAGCCUGGGUCUAAAAGGAGAAAAAUCUUGAACUCCACAAAGUCAUUCUUCCAUUCUCUACAACCACAGUUUGAUAUACGUUCAAGAAGGCAGUUAUAUUCAACAGAAUCUAUCCAUUCUUUUUCAUUUAUGUAACAUUUUUGUACUAUUUUUUGAAUGCUCAGGAACUUCUGAUGUGAUGUAAGCUUAUGGAUAAAAUGCAGGUAACAAAAACAGUACAAACACAAUGCAUAAAUAUCCAUGUUGGUUUUAAUAUUGAUAUCCCUAAUCUUUCUGUAAAUCAGUAUAUAGUGUCUCAAAUCAUUGAUUUUCUCUCUGGCCUCCACUUUGAGCGUAUUUUAUAAAACCCAAGAGAGAAAGACCUGUUCUGCGCUCAGGGUAGUAUAAACCCAUUCUAUAAAUGUAGGAAAUUUCCUUCUAGGACGCUAAACAAAACAUCUAUUUUCUGUUGGAGAAUGAGAUACUCAGAAGUCUUGGUUUAUCCAUAAAUGUAGAUGUACAUACACAGGACAGUGCAAGACCACUAAGCCCACUUUGUCUUCUCAAUUAAACUUUAUCUGAGAGAUCCAAUAUAGAAGAGAAAAAACCACCUGAGCAAAUCUGUUAUUUCAGGGGUCAGCACCCUACUGGAGGGAAGGAACAGCAUGUGGGCAGUAGUGAACAAAGCAGAAACAGAAGCCUGAGUCCUGGUGGUUUGAG